rnacentral:tRNA from 2 species
UUAAUUGAAGCCAAAAAGAGGCAUAUUACUGUUAAUGAUAUUAUUGAAUAAUAAUUCCAAUUAAG